GACCAGGAUAAUUAAUACCGCAUGUUCCAUAUAUAAGUAAGCUUCAUCAAGGAGGAAGGGUCGAAGGGCUUUGUUUAUUCUCCAUCACUACCAAAAGUCAUCGUUCGAUGUCGGAAGUUGCCGGAAGUCACCAAUUGUCGGCCAGAAAAGAGUGUGGAAGGAAAACUUAAAUGAACCGCAGGUCCACAAAUAAUGCUUAGUUUAGCUGACCAGAAGUGCAAUAGUUUAGCUGAUCGACCACAGAGAAUACUUUUUAAGCAAACUUUUGUUCUUAAUAAAUACAUAGGUAAAAAUAAAAGAAUAUCUAACCCAAUUUGUGCAUUUGUGAAUAAUAUUAAAGAAAUUAACUUUAA